UGCAAGUCGAGCGGUAGCACAGAGAGCUUGCUCUCGGGUGACGAGCGGCGGACGGGUGAGUAAUGUCUGGGAAACUGCCUGAUGGAGGGGGAUAACUACUGGAAACGGUAGCUAAUACCGCAUAAUGUCGCAAGACCAAAGUGGGGGACCUUCGGGCCUCAUGCCAUCAGAUGUGCCCAGAUGGGAUUAGCUAGUAGGUGGGGUAACGGCUCACCUAGGCGACGAUCCCUAUCUGGUCUGAGAGGAUGACCAGCCACACUGGAACUGAGACACGGUCCAGACUCCUACGGGAGGCAGCAGUGGGGAAUAUUGCACAAUGGGCGCAAGCCUGAUGCAGCCAUGCCGCGUGUGUGAAGAAGGCCUUCGGGUUGUAAAGCACUUUCAGCGGGGAGGAAGGCGGUAAGGUUAAUAACCUUGUCGAUUGACGUUACCCGCAGAAGAAGCACCGGCUAACUCCGUGCCAGCAGCCGCGGUAAUACGGAGGGUGCAAGCGUUAAUCGGAAUUACUGGGCGUAAAGCGCACGCAGGCGGUCUGUCAAGUCGGAUGUGAAAUCCCCGGGCUCAACCUGGGAACUGCAUUCGAAACUGGCAGGCUAGAGUCUUGUAGAGGGGGGUAGAAUUCCAGGUGUAGCGGUGAAAUGCGUAGAGAUCUGGAGGAAUACCGGUGG
rnacentral:rRNA from 1 species